GACGAACGCUGGCGGCGUGCUUAACACAUGCAAGUCGAACGGUGAAGCGCCUUCCUUUUUGGUGGGUGUGGAUGAGUGGCGAACGGGUGAGUAACACGUGAGUAACCUGCCCCCUUCUUCUGGAUAACCGCAUGAAAGUGUGGCUAAUACGGGAUAUUCUGGGUCUGUCGCAUGAUGGGUCUGGGAAAGAUAUUGUUUCGGUGGGGGAUGGGCUCGCGGCCUAUCAGCUUGUUGGUGGGGUGAUGGCCUACCAAGGCGGUGACGGGUAGCCGGCCUGAGAGGGUGGACGGUCACACUGGGACUGAGACACGGCCCAGACUCCUACGGGAGGCAGCAGUGGGGAAUAGUGCACAAUGGGCGCAAGCCUGAUGCAGCGACGCCGCGUGAGGGAUGGAGGCCUUCGGGUUGUGAACCUCUUUCGCCAGUGAAGCAGGCCUGCCUCGUUUGUGGGUGGGUUGACGGUAGCUGGAGAAGAAGCGCCGACUAACUACGUG
rnacentral:rRNA from 1 species